UACGAAGGGGGCUAGCGUUGCUCGGAAUUACUGGGCGUAAAGGGCGCGUAGGCGGAUACUUAAGUCGGGGGUGAAAGCCCGGGGCUCAGCCUCGGAAUUGCCUUCGAUACUGGGUAUCUUGAGUUCGGGAGAGGUGAGUGGAAUGCCGAGUGUAGAGGUGAAAUUCGUAGAUAUUCGGCGGAACACCAGUGGCGAAGGCGACUCACUGGCCCGAUACUGACGCUGAUGCGCGAAAGCGUGGGGAGCAAACAGG
rnacentral:rRNA from 1 species